rnacentral:rRNA from 1 species
CCUACGGGUGGCAGCAGUGAGGAAUAUUGGUCAAUGGGCGAGAGCCUGAACCAGCCAAGUCGCGUGAGGGAGUACUGCCCUAUGGGUUGUAAACCUCUUUUGUCGGGGAGCAAAAGCCGGACGUGUCCGGCUGUGAGAGUACCCGAAGAAAAAGCAUCGGCUAACUCCGUGCCAGCAGCCGCGGUAAUACGGAGGAUGCGAGCGUUAUCCGGAUUUAUUGGGUUUAAAGGGUGCGUAGGCGGCCUUUUAAGUCAGCGGUGAAAGUCUGUGGCUCAACCAUAGAAUUGCCGUUGAAACUGGGAGGCUUGAGUAUGUUUGAGGCAGGCGGAAUGCGUGGUGUAGCGGUGAAAUGCUUAGAUAUCACGCAGAACCCCGAUUGCGAAGGCAGCCUGCCAAGCCAUGACUGACGCUGAUGCACGAAAGCGUGGGGAUCAAACAGGAUUAGAUACCCGUGUAGUC